CACGUAGGGGGCAAGCGUUGUCCGGAUUUAUUGGGCGUAAAGAGCUCGUAGGUGGUUCGGUAAGUCGGGUGUUAAACCCCCAGGCUCAACCUGGGGACGCCACUCGAUACUGCUGUGACUAGAGUCCGGUAGGGGAGCGUGGAAUUCCUGGUGUAGCGGUGAAAUGCGCAGAUAUCAGGAGGAACACCAGCGGCGAAGGCGGCGCUCUGAGCCGGUACUGACACUGAGGAGCGAAAGCGUGGGGAGCAAACAGG
rnacentral:rRNA from 1 species